rnacentral:lncRNA from 10 species
GAUGAUUAUAGUUACACUGAGAGGAUUAAGAUUUCAGGAAAGUGAUAAACAGCAGGGACAGAAUAAGGUCCUUUUUUUGUUGUUGUUUCCCAAGGAUUAUUAGCUUGAAAGUUAAUAUCAUAUAUGGGCUGUGGCUUAUUGUCCUAUGAGAAAUAGAAGAACCAGCAAUAGAAGAGACCCAGAUCAAGUUUGACUGAAAGGCAAACACCAUUCCCAACUGGCUUUACCAUCUGGUAAGGGUUUGUCAAUAAAAAUAUUUGGGUAGCAGCAAUUUUUCCAAAUUCUUAUUUAUCUAGACUUCCAGAAAAAGCCAGACAAAAU